rnacentral:rRNA from 1 species
GUCCCUACGGGAGGCAGCAGUGGGGGAUAUUGCACAAUGGGGGGAACCCUGAUGCAGCGACGCCGCGUGGGUGAAGGAGUGCUUCGGCAUGUAAAGCCCUAUCGGCAGGGAAGAAGCAAGACGGUACCUGGGGAGGAAGCUCCGGCUAACUACGUGCCAGCAGCCGCGGUAAUACGUAGGGAGCGAGCGUUGUCCGGAAUUACUGGGUGUAAAGGGAGCGUAGGCGGGGGUGCAAGUUUGGUGUUAAAUCUACCGGCUCAACUGGUAGUCGCACUCAAAACUGC